GAACUUAAAGGAAUUGACGGGGGCCCGCACAAGCGGUGGAGCAUGUGGUUCAAUUCGACGCAACGCGAAGAACCUUACCUGGGCUAGACAACAGUGGACCGUCCUAGAAUAGGACUUUCCCUUCGGGGACCGCUGGUUCAGGUGCUGCAUGGCUGUCGUCAGCUCGUGCCGUGAGGUGUUGGGUUAAGUCCCGCAACGAGCGCAACCCUCGUACUUAGUUGCCACCAUUAAGUUGGGCACUCUAGGUAGACUGCCGGCGUUAAGCCGGAGGAAGGUGGGGACGACGUCAAGUCAUCAUGGCCCUUAUGUCCAGGGCCACACACGUGCUACAAUGGGCGGCACAAAGGGUCGCGAACCCGCGAGGGGGAGCCAAUCCCAAAAGCCGUUCUCAGUUCGGAUUGGAGUCUGCAACUCGACUCCAUGAAGUUGGAAUCGCUAGUAAUCGCGGAUCAGCACGCCGCGGUGAAUACGUUCCCGGGCCUU
rnacentral:rRNA from 1 species